AUUGAACGCUGGCGGCAGGCCUAACACAUGCAAGUCGAGCGGAUGAGGGUAGCUUGCUACCUGAUUCAGCGGCGGACGGGUGAGUAAUGCCUAGGAAUCUGCCCGAUAGUGGGGGACAAAGUUUCGAAAGGAACGCUAAUACCGCAUACGUCAUACGGGAGAAAGUGGGGGAUCUUCGGACCUCACGCUAUCGGAUGAGCCUAGGUCGGAUUAGCUAGUUGGUGAGGUAAUGGCUCACCAAGGCUACGAUCCGUAACUGGUCUGAGAGGAUGAUCAGUCACGCUGUAACUGAGACACGGUCCAGACUCCUACGGGAGGCAGCAGUGGGGAAUAUUGGACAAUGGGCGAAAGCCUGAUCCAGCCAUGCCGCGUAUGUGAAGAAGGUCUUCGGAUUGUAAAGCACUUUAAGUUGGGAGGAAGGGCUGUAGGCUAAUAUCCUGCAGUUUUGACGUUACCAACAGAAUAAGCACCGGCUAACUUCGUGCCAGCCGCCGCCGUAA
rnacentral:rRNA from 1 species